UACGAGGGGGGCAAGCGUUGUUCGGAUUUACUGGGCGUAAAGGGCGCGUAGGCGGCGUGUUAAGUCAGCUGUGAAAUCUCCGAGCUUAACUCGGAACGGUCAGCUGAUACUGAUGUGCUAGAGUGCAGAAGGGGCAAUCGGAAUUCUUGGUGUAGCGGUGAAAUGCGUAGAUAUCAAGAGGAACACCUGAGGUGAAGACGGGUUGCUGGGCUGACACUGACGCUGAGGCGCGAAAGCUAGGGUAGCAAACGGG
rnacentral:rRNA from 1 species